UACGUAGGGUGCAAGCGUUAAUCGGAAUUACUGGGCGUAAAGCGCACGCAGGCGGUUUGUUAAGUCAGAUGUGAAAUCCCCGAGCUUAACUUGGGAACUGCAUUUGAAACUGGCAAGCUAGAGUCUUGUAGAGGGGGGUAGAAUUCCAGGUGUAGCGGUGAAAUGCGUAGAGAUCUGGAGGAAUACCGGUGGCGAAGGCGGCCCCCUGGACAAAGACUGACGCUCAGGUGCGAAAGCGUGGGGAGCAAACAGG
rnacentral:rRNA from 1 species